AACCACAAUGUGAACCUUUUAUCUCGUGUGCUAAUCGAGCCCGCUGUUGCUUAACGGCUUCAGCAGCCAGGGUCCGAGCAAGGCAACUUGCUAGGGUCUCCCCCUGGUGGCACGGUUGGUGUAUGUCCCCCACACCGCUCUCCAUCGACCCAGCUAACGCUGAACUGAUGGUUGGCUACAAAACCAAAAUCUGAAGUCAAUGGGUGCUAUUCUAAUGGCCCCACUAACAAAGACAACUCUCAACAACGGAUAUCUUGGCUCUCGCAACGAUGAAGAACGCAGCGAAAUGCGAUACGUAGUGUGAAUUGCAGAAUUCCGUGAACCAUCGAAUCUUUGAACGCAUAUUGCGCUCGAGGCUUCGGCCAAGAGCAUGUCUGCCUCAGCGUCGUUUUGACACCUCACUCCCAUACCUUUUGGUAUCACGCAUCGAGCCAAGGCUUGAUGCUGGGCGUGGAUCUGGCUUCCCCAGGGCUUUCCUGGGUUGGCUGAAGUGUAGAGGCUAGAGCACGGACCCAUAUGGGCGUCAACUGGAUAGGUAGCCCCCACGUAAGUGGAUCUACACGAAGUUGUCUGCCUGGGAAACGUGUUGGCGGCCAAACAGGAAACUUCUCUCACUUCGACCUGAGCUCAGGCAAGAUUACCCGCUGAACUUAAGCAUAUCAAUAAGCGGAGG
rnacentral:rRNA from 1 species